UUGUGUACAAAUCGACUUGUGAAUGGCCUGCAGAAUGGAACCCAGGGACUGCCUGCACUUUGAAUUUGUAAGAUUCAGCUGUGAGUUGGUUCAAGUUCAAGUUGUGGCAAAAGACUGAGAAAAGAAAUAGGACAAAGAUAAUGAUCUCAUGAACUAAUGGAAGAAAAGCUCUCCAUACUUGUGGCUACAGAGUAGAAAGAUGAAGAAUUGAGGUCUCCAACUAUUUAUCCAACACCAUUUGGAAGAUAUGGAUGUUUGUAUAACCUCUGGGAAAUUUCUGCUAAUAUUUAAUAAUUGCAUAAAUAAACUUGACUCUUGAAAAAUUA